GUCAGCUCUGCUUCCUCAUUAUGUGAAUCAAGAAAAUAAAAAAAGGAUUCUAAGUACAACGAUCAUGGACGUGCUCUCUAUCUUCAUUCUAAUGACUCUGGUAGGAAAAUGUCAAGGGAACAUUUAUCUAAUUUAUCAAGGGGAAAAAGAAGAUAUAUCCCUACAAUGUGAAGGGAGUUUUUGGCAGAUUGACCUAGAUCAAAACAACAAGGUGGAUUGCACUUUUAAUGACAUUGCCAAUGACAAUAAGAAUAAAUGUGACCAGGAUUUGAAUGGGAAGAACAGAACACUUGAACUAGAAAAAAAAUCCUGCAUAAAUCUAAGUAUUAUACAAUGUUUUAAUAUGAAAUUGGAAAAAAACAUCACUGGAUUUUUUGCGUGUUUCCACAAUGUCCAAUCAAUUGAUCGAUACCUAUUCCCCUUUAAACCAUCAAAAGAUCUGGUGGCUUUUUAUAUUGUGGCAUUUGUUGAAUCAGAGAUGGUGAUACCUGACCCUGGUGUGGAAACUAAAACUGUUACCAAACAGCAUGGGGAAACAGUCAACCUUACAUGUCAUUUCACAAUAGCCGACCAUUUUUCUAACUUGCCAUUCUCAGUGUAUUGGAUCAAGACCUUCAGCGGAAAAAAUUGCACUUGUGUUCAUUCUUAUUCUUUUGAUUAUAUUGUUGGACCAUCAUAUGACCACCAUUGUCUCAUUGAUGAGGCCCUGCUGAAUAAAAUGUAAAAUACUUCAUCUAUACCCCAAACAAACCCUAACUUUCAUAACCUUAAGAUCAGCAAUGCCACAUAUUCAGACAGCGGACAGUAUGUGUGUGCCUUACAGGUGCUUAAAGGUCCAAAAGGGCACUGGAAGGUAAUAACUAAUAUCACAGUCACUGUGAAUGGAGAAUUCAACAACCACACCAACAGGAAUGACACAGCCCUGUUAGAUACACCUGGUGAGUCACAGUAUAUUGUUAUCACUAAUACAUAAUAUGAUCAUGAAUAAUACCUCAUUGAUCUUCAUUCUGAAUGCUUUGUGUUUUAUUAAAAUGGGGUCCUUACAUACCACUGUAUGUAGUGGGAGCCCUGUUCUUCUCCUGCCUGUUUGUUACUGUCAUUGUCAUUGUCAUUGUCAUGACGAAUAAUACCAAGAUUUUGCAAGGUGAGUAAAAACCCACAUACUGUAUGUUCUAUUAUCAAGUAUGUAUUUUAUUUAUCAAGUAUUAUUUCCAUAAAAGGAAUUUGCAGUACUGACAGGUUUUCAAACCCAUUUAACCCCACUGCUUCCUCUUUCUGGAUGUAGGCUCCCCAUUCGCUGAGGGCAGAGGAGAGGAGGAGGGGCCCUACUCACUUGUGAAGCUGACUGAAGUGAGAGAUCCUGUGGCUGCACAGAACGGGGCUGAGGAACAUGCUGCUGUUGCUGCCAAGCCUUAUUCUGUAGUCAUGUUCAAUACUGAGUAUGAGGCCUUUGACCCCCAGGCCAUUCAGACACCAUCCACCUGACCACCUCAGGAUUGGAGUGGAAGUAUGAGUUACUAACAACCAUUAGUUAUUCAUAUCAUGUAGAUAAAGUUAGAUAAAGAUAAUGUUUUCAUGAUUGGUCCUUCAUAUUGUGUUUAGACCAAGGUUGGGGUGGGGCCGCCAGGGGUUUGUUUGGGAUGGAGGGUGGGAGAGGUUGAGUUUGGUGAAAAAAAUAUUUUGUGAUUCUUAUUGAUUGUACAGGUUAUGUGACUCAAUAAAAAAACUUAACUUAGUGAAAUUAAAGAGAAAAGGAGGAUUUACUUUCUUUUUUAAUUGAAUGUUUUUGUGCUCACUCAUGCUGGACUGAACAUUUUCACUAGAUGGUGCUAGUGCUCAGUCCUACAGUUAUGCUUACUGUUUCUCUGAUAUUGUGUGAUAUGUGUGAUUGCUUAAUUAUUAUGUAACAUUGAAUAAACAUUGCAUAAAUUAAA